UUCUGCGUCUCCCGCUGCUGAGCUGGCUGAUGGAGUGUGUGUCGCUGUGGCUAGCGUAGGGCGGUGACUAGCGGCGGUCUGGGGCUGCUCACCUUCGGUCAGGUUCAGAAACCCAAGAAAUGGAGCGCAGUUCCUGCUGAACGCCGGCAGCAGUGGAGGGGCCCGGAAGCGCUAUCCGAACAGCGUGAGCCUCUGGCAGAGAAAAGAAGGCUCUAAAAGUGUACUCCUACUCCGGCGGGGUCUGGGUCUUGGGUGAUACCGACCGAGGCGGAAAAGAUGUGGGCGCGGCUCCCGUCUUUGAGGCUCCGAGGAGCCCUGAGACCUUGGUUCUGGCGGCUCCCGGAGGCAGUCGAGUGAUUGCCCUUCAAAGAGCAUCCGCCGGGUGGUUUGUGUGGUUGUGUACUUUUAGCUGACUGUACCGCCACAUCACGUAGGAGUCGUCUCCAUUUUAUUGAUUGGGAAUGUAAGGCUCAAGGAACUUGGGUUUACUGGCCAAGAUGGCAUAGUAAGUAGUGUUGUUAAGAUCUGGGCUGCUGGGGGGAUGGAUACGCCCUGGGAGCCCAGUGCUCUUAUCUGCACCGCCAAAAUAGCUCUUUAAUAAAUUAGUUGAAUUUCAAAAAAAAAAAAAAAAAUGCCACGCCCUAGGGAUUGCCAGGAAAAGUGCAAAUGCGUUGUGUACCAACUUCACAUGCACACACCUUUUAAAAAGACAAUGCUAUGAAACAAAUGGAACUUGCCCUUGGCUGUUUAUAAAUCUCUAGUGGGAGAAAAGCCUGGGUUUCCAGAAAGGAAUUGUAUAGCCUGAGAGAAGUAAGGGUGAGUUUUCAUUAGGUAGUGCCUGGCUCUUGGGACAUUUAUAGACCUCAAUCUUUCAUGUACAAAAAAGUCAGGUAGUUUCCAAAGAUCCAUUUUUACUAUUCUGUCUUAGUAAAAAACAAAUUUUCUCUCAGUAAUGAGAUUGUACAUAAUUGAGAUGAAUAAUCACGUAAUUGCAUACUAUACAGCAACCAAGUACAAAAAUUAGUUGAAACGUUUUAAAAUGUGAAGUAUAUUUAGUGUGGAGAAUAGCUGGGCUUCUAUUAUUUUUCUUUCCUUAAUUCUUUGUGCAUUUUUUAACUGACACAGUAUCAAUAAAUAUAAAAUAAUAUCUCCAUUCCAC
ensembl:processed_transcript